AGGACAACGCGUAUAUUAGUCGAACUGUCCAUGAACUAAUUGUGAGGAUAACUUAAAGUAACUGUGUUGUGCAAAAACUGUGCGUUAGAACUAUUUCAGAUGUGACAAGUCUCGUAGGUAGAGAGAGUUUCGAACCAGAAAACCUCGUUGUCUCCUUUAGCAUGCAGACUGAACGUUUCAGAGAGGAAGGAUCAUAAAUAAUGAAUGAAGAACAUCAGUUUUUUGUCAUAAUUCAUCCAAGGCACGACACGAACUCUGUUUUUUGUUGGCUUUGGAUUGGUUUGAACGCCUCAAACAUGAGCGAUGAGGAGAUGGUUCCCGAAGCCUCGGAUGCCGAACCAGCUGAAGAGGAAAUUCAGGCCGAAGAAUAUGAUAAUGAUCUAACAACGGAACAUACCUACCUCGGACGAGAUCUUGAGACGUUAACUGGCAGGACGUUUACGGAAGAUGGAAGCAUACAGUCAAUGUUAGUAUUUCAAGAGCUCCCAAUGCUUAUUCCUGGCGAAACUCUCCCUCUGAAAUUCUACCAUCCGGGAAAAAUUAAAUUAUUAAGCAACGUUAUCAAAAGAAAGCAGUUAUUCGGCGUGCUUCAUCCAGGCCAGAAGCAAUAUGGCACGACAGCGGAGAUCCGGAACUACAAGUUAGUAGUACAAGGCAGUGCGGAGCCGCGUCCCUGUCUCACAGUUAUAGCGGAAGGGAUAAAGCAAUUCCAGCUCAUGGAGGAACUCUUAAGACAUCAGCUCCGUUUUGUAAAGGUGCAAAUACUGAAAGACGUUACACUUCAAUCCCCUGAGAAACGGCUGCUGCUUGAACGGCAAAGGGAUCGCGGUCUGAUGACAACCUGCUCACCAUGGCCAAGAUUCUUAUACAACCAAUUUGACAAAAAAUAUCUAGUUCAGAAAGUCUCAGAAGCGAUAGCGCCCUUCGUGAAGAAGAAGAUCCCACCGUGCACGGAUCCAGUCAAGUUUUCCUAUUGGGCAGCUGCCAACUCGCCUGUUAAUUCACAUGAGCGGCGACUUCUACUCGCGGCAAGCUGCACUCAGGAUCGACUACGGAUGGCCCUUGUAUACCUCAGUUUAAACUGUGAUAUCUGCUGUAAAGGUUGCCAUGAAGUUAUCAGUAGCAAAGCAUAUAUUAUCUCAAUGUCACGAAGCGGGGCACAGGGCACAUUUGUAAACAGAGUGGGUUAUGUGCAUAAUUUGUUGACGGUUGGUCAAAUACGGCGGAUAAUUUAUCAGGGGGCAAGAGAUGAAUCAUUUUCAUGGUAUCCUGGAUAUGCAUGGACCAUUGGUAAUUGCUCGGAAUGUCAUCGACAUCUGGGGUGGAAAUUUGACACAGUCAAGCACCUCAAGCCCGCAACCUUUUGGGCUCUUAGUCGAGAGAAUAUUGAAUUCCGAGUCCUGAUGACUCAAGACAGACUCACUGCAGCACAGGAAACGGCCGAACUGUUUGCCGAGCAGGAAAACGACGAGGAUGCUGAUGACCAGGGAGCUCUGCAUGAAAAUUUGUACUGGUUUUAGUCACCGGUUGGGCAUUCAGAGGUAGAUGUUCUGCACUUCUUCCACCCUUAUUAAGGAGUAGUGCCACCUUUGACGUUUUAUGUCAUCACAUUGUAAUGAUAUUUCUGGAUGGGAGGUAGCUCCUAAAGCUUCUUGUUGUCUCGUCGUCUAAAAGUCUUACAAGGAAGAAGUACGAAGGUACUUGAUGAAGACAGAGAACAUUCGUUGGCUGGCUCGGACAUUUCUGAUUUGACUACACCUUUAUAAAAUGGUUAAUGAUUCUAUUCUAUGGACGAUUAUCAGGUCGCAUCAGGAUUGGACGCAAAUACUUUAUUGGCUUCCGACAACAAGCAAAGAAAGCAAUUUGUUUUGCAAAUAACUGUAAACAUAUUAGUAUAAAUACCUGCGAAGCCCCGUGAACGCUACACAACCUGUUUGAAUAAAGAAAUUUAAUUCCUUCUUUAAAGCUUUUAUUUGAAAUGCACUGUCAAGGCCAACGAAAGCCUGCUAGACGCUUUACAAAAAACUCCACUUGUUUUUAUAAAAAAAAUAAGCUCAAGAUUAAUUAUUAAGGUUUUUGUGUACACUUAUGAAAUGUAGGAACCAACUUCAAAUGCGUUCGUGGUGCUGUUGAAGUAGAUUUAUCCCUGUUGCGGACAUAUUGACAGAACUAAUGUAUCUAAUUAAAAUACAGUCUGUGGUCGAUCAAAUACGCCCGAAUAAAUUGAGUGAAAUAGUCCGAAGGCCAACUGCGCAAUACUAAGAUUUCUUAAAAAGAAAAACUUUUGGCUUAUAAAAGCGGUAUUAUCUAUCUUAAACCUAAUACCCGGCAGGCUACUACCCUACAUGUCGAUAAUACAUCUGCAAGCAUUUUCAGACUGCUGACAAACCCUCUCUUAUAUUAAACAUUUCUUGGCAAGUUUACGGUCCUUGAUCCCAGCCUCGUAAAGUCGGCGACGAAGUGUAUCUCCGAUAUAAAAUCCACGGGUUUUUAGUUUGUUCUGGAAGAUAUUAUACGAGACGAACCUUUUAUUGUAUUUUAUAAUAACACAAUCCUCCUGCUUUGUAGUGAUUUUUAAUACCGACCUUACGCGACACCAGCUGGAGGUUUUCUCUGAGCUAUCUACGUUGGCGAUUGCAUACUUAAAAACAUGAAACAUUUAAGCAGUUUCGCGUUGUGCGCCUUUGUUUUAACAAGGCCGUCUACUAAAAUGUGUUCUGCUCCCAAGUGGGAUCUGUUCCUUUUCUCAUCUCGACACUUGUACGAAAACGUUCAAACCUAUCAAGCUCACUUAGAUAACACCACCUAGUUCUUCAGCACCGACAACAAUCGUGUGAGAUGAUGAGAUAGAGCGCAUCGGCUAUACGUACUACGAGAUCUCAGCACAAAUCUGAUUACCAUACGCUAUCAUAUUUGCAAUUUUCGAAAUACAGUAUGUCAAUGUGAAAAAGAAUCAUGCCGCUUCCGUAAGCUAACGCCCACUUGAAAAUAUCCUCUUUGUAUACUGCGCAGUUCGCCAGUUUGACUGAAUUUAUCUUAACAAAAGAAUAUUGUCGUUUACUUAAUUAUGAAUUCUAAACGCAGCGUAUGAUAAUUUAUGAUAAGUAUCCGUUACCUAACAUAAAUCUCAUAUUUUGGAAACUAAAGUAUAUCAAGAAUAACAAUGAAACCUGGCAGGAACCGUGAGAUGUUUGAGUUAAGUUAUCCUGAACUAACUAUUCAAUCCACGUGGCUCUAAUAAGAUGUAUUAAUUAUGCUGGCUUUAUUGAGAUGUUUUUUGUAUAUAAUGAUAGUAAUUAGCAUAAUUGUAGUAACGUAUAUUUACAUUAAGAAUGCUAGGUAUCCAUUAUAACUAGUCGUGAUCAGAGCUGCAAGACCUAAAAGAACAGAAAAGUGAGGCAUAGCUUCAGGAAGGUCGUGCCUCGUAGUUACCUUGUAAGUUAUUCUGAUACUUAUAAGAUCUCUACUUAGAUCUCUACGGAGUAGUGAUCUAUGCAAUUUUCGACAUAAAAGCUUAGCUUUUAGCACAGCGCUGAGGUGCUAAACUGCUUAAUCCACAGCCUGCCAUUUCUAAAAAUACAUGCGAACACAAAAAGGUACGUAAUCAUAAAUUAAUUUGCCUGGUGCAUCGUUUCUAUAGACCCAUUACUAAACAAAUGCAGGAAAGGUAAUUGGUGUACUCGAAACAGAGAUCGAGAAAUUGAAAAACAAGGUAGCCAGAAAGGAGUAAGGUAUAAAAGUUUUCGAUAGGGAGCACAAAUACAAGAACUCUUCGAGAGUAAGCCCUUAUUUUUUGUAGCUAAUUCUCGAAUGUCUUCUUUAUGACAGGCCUUACUACCGCUGUUUUAACAUACUCUUAAAUACCUUUCGGGAAAAACGACUCACUAUGAGCAAUCGGAAGAGAUAAUAUGGACAAUCUUCUAGUUCUAGGUACGAUGCAGAAGAGAUCCUCGAUCUAAGAAAUUAUGAGAGAUUAAUUUUAUCAUAAACUAGCAAAGCCUUCUAGAAGGAAACCUAUGCAAAGAAAUAAUGCGUUGCAUGUGUCCCGUUUAAUGUAGGAAAUUAAACUCAUGAAGCUUCUUUUCGAUUAGUUCCACGUAUACUUAUUUACCAUAAAGUAAGAAAAAUAAAAAUCUGGUGCGAUUUAGGUGAUCGCAUAGUACAGUUCACUAAUUGGGUUUCAAUUAACCUCAAGUUCAGCACAUUUCUCACGCAAAAUAUAUCAUCUAGAAAACAAUAGUUAAGUGAAAUCAUAAUAAUAUAAACAAUUCCGACGAAAAUGAGCUCUCCUCUUCAGUUGAGGUGAGUGAAUACCUCAUUCCAAUUAAAAGUAAAUUCACCCCUUCAGUCAAGGUGGCUGUACGCCGAUAAGCAAUCUAUAGAAAAAUCUCGUUUUCAAGAAAUGACAGUGACCUCGAAUGAACAGUGGACCUCGUCGAAAAAUAAAAAAAAUAUGGUCGACGAUAUUUCGACGAGGUCGAAAUAUCGUCGACCAUAUUUUUUACUGCAUAUCCCUUAAAUCACUUUAACCUUUAUACUAACUUUUCGCCUUUUCUUAAAGCCUGAGGAACAACUUAGGACUGUUUGGGAAAUCAAACGGAGAACAUCCCGGAGAGUGCUAUUCGUUUUGAUUUUAUUGCACAGUUUGUUCGGAGUUUGACCGGCGACAACUAAACCUUUCUUGUUCCAAUGGGCGACUCAGUGAACACAUCACAUAUUUACUACAUCUGUUACGAUAUUAAAAUGCGAGAGUGCUAAAUAACAAAUUAAGAUAAUAUGUUGUGUAUUAUUACUGUCCCUUAUAUCACGAUUUAGGUAGUAGAAACUAGGCGGAGAAUUUAUCGAGGUGUCACGAAAACUGCCUAGG